rnacentral:tRNA from 1 species
UCUAUUAUGGCAGAUUAGUGUAUUGGAUUUAAACCCCAACUAUAAAGCCUAAGGCUUUUUUUAGAA